GGGAACAAAACAAUUGAAUUUACAAAAAUAAAGUGUUAUUUGACUGGAGUGAGGUCUCAUGUCUGCUUAUGCGGUGGCUCGCUGCUCAGAACAGGAUGGCAGAGAUGAGCACCACCAUCAAAAACUCAAGGACCAGUGCUGUGGGUCCAGUCAUCUGUUUCAUGGAAUUCACCAGUCUGGUAUCUUCAAAAUCCAGAAGGAUGAUGGCAGAUGGCAGGAAGGAGGAAGAGGGUAAUCUGGAAGAGUUUCCUGACCUACUCUGCUGCUGUGAUUAAACAACCACCAGGAAAUUUUGAUGACACUGUUCUCCUGAGCUCCUCCCUUUCCUCGGGGAAGAAAAGCAUUGAAACUACAAAAAUAAAGUGUUAUUUGGCUGGAGUGAGGUCUCAUGUCUGCUUAUGCGGUGGCUCGCUGCUCAGAACAGGGAACCAUUGGAGAUACUCAUUACUCUUUGAAGGCUUACAGUGGAAUGAAUUCAAAUACGACUUAUUUGAGGAAUUGAAGUUGACUUUAUGGAGCUGAUAAGAAUCUUCUUGGAGAAAAAAAGACUGGGUAUAUUUUCAAUAUGCUUUCCUUUUAAGGUCCCUCACCUGUGGAAAGUAAAGAAUGUCACUUUCUGACAGGCUCAGGAACCUCAAGUUAUGUAGGGAUCUCAAGAAGAUGGGGGAAUUCACCCAGUUCAUACAGGUGAAAUUGCUGUUGCAAAGAUUAUGAAUAUGAGAGAAGUCCAGCAUGGCUGACUUCAUCUCGUGUCUGGCCUCAGGCUGGCUGCCCUUGCUCACUCUUGGGCAUAGGCCAAGCUAGCCAUGGGAGGAAUUUAGUUUAUAGUUUAACUUUGAAGCACGGAUGAUAAUAGUCUCUCCCUAAAAUGAACCCCUUCCUUGCUCAGGGACUGAAACUACCUUUGUAUGACAAAUGAAAGCCCACAAGAUUAAGAUUAUGAGAGGGGCCUGAAUUCUGCUAAAAUGCAGGUGUAGCUGACUGAUAACAAGUCAUUGUCCCACAGCUUGCCUUUCUAUAAUCUCUUGCUUCUCAGGAGUCACAUGGCCAGAGGUCCUGAGAUUUCCAGUCCUGUGACCCCCACCCAGAGAUGGACUUAGUGCAUGAGGACCAUUUUCCACACCCCUAUGAUUUCAUCCUCAAACAAUCAGCAGCAACCAUUCCCUAGCCCCCUGCCUUCCAAAUUAUCCAUAAAAAUCCUAGCCUCUGAGUUAUUAGGGAGAUUGAUUAAUAAUCCCAGUCCUACCCCUUGGGUUGCUCUGAUUUAAUUAAACCUUCUCUACUGCAAUACCACGGACUCAGUAAAUUGGUUUUGUCUGUGCAAUGGGCAAGAAGAACAUGUUGCAUGGUUAUACAGGUACUACAAGCACAGUCUGAUGGCAAAUUAUUGGUUUUGCUUCCUGCCCUUGAUGUUUCUAAACAUCUAGUCCAAAAUUACUUGUGAAAGGUCCAGCAAAGCCAAUUUUAAAAGAGGCUAUAUGGCCAAUCACUAUUCUUUCUACACAUUAUUGCAAAUAAUCAGGCCACGGCUGGGCACGGUGGCUCAUGCCUGCAAUCCCAGCACUUUGGGAGGCUGAGGCAGGAUCACCUGAAAUCAGGAGUUCAAGACCAGCCUAGGCAACAUGAUAAAACCCUGUCUCUACUAAAAAUACAAAAUUAGCCAGGCAUGGUGGCAUGCACCUGUAAUCCCAGCUACUUGGGAGACUGAGGGAGGAGAAUCACUUGAACCUGGGAGGCAGAGAUUGCAGUGAGCUGAGAUCACACCACUGCACUCCAGCCUGGGCAAUAGAGUGAGACUUUGUCUCAAAUAAUAAUAAUAAUAAUCAGACCAAGUAUAAUGAAAUUAAAAUUUAUUUUGCAAAUAAAUUGGUCCUACUACAAUUUAUCCUUCAUAGAAAUGUGGAAACUGAAGAUAAAAAAAAUUAGGUUUCAGAAGAAAACUAUACUACACCUGUUAUUAGAUUCUAGCCCUAAACAUUGUUUUUGAGGUUUUUAUUAUUUACCUGCAAUUUGGUCUAAAUUCUGAAUUAUUUCCUGACUACAAGUAUCCAAGGAAUAAAUGGGUUUUCUUUUUCUUUAUGAUAGUUUUAGUUGGCUUCUAAUGCAACAACAAUUUUUAUUGUAAUCCUGUGUGCAUUCUAUUCCUACUAUUCAAAUUAUUAAUGUUAUAGAUCUUUCAUUGUAGUACUUCUGAAUUAACCAAAAUCACAGUAUUCUGAAGAUGAUUCUACAAAGCCUGCUGUUUCUACAAAGGCUGCUGAUGAUUUCUACAAAGCCUGCUGUAGUGUUGCUGUGGCCUCUGCUUAAAAAAGUAGAAAACACAUUGAUGCAGCAUGUUCACCCCAACCUCCCUGCCUAAAGGCUCAGGGACCAUCUUGGAAGAGGAAGGCGCGUGAGAUUGUAAGAGCCGAAUUAGGGGGAUGGAGUGUGGAGAAUAAGGACACUUCAUCUUGGAUGCUCACCUGCCAAAUUGACUUCUGAUGAAAGCCAGCUCCAGAAAUGUGCCUACAGUUACUACUUUCACCUAAACCCUGCCCUUAGUCAAAUCCUUCUCUUCUUCUAAGCAAUCAACUUCAAUUCCUUGUAUAACCCACAGUAUAAAAGGGCUUUUAUACCAUUCUAUCCUAUUGCAUGUAAGCCUUGGGUCUGGGAGGUAACAGUGUGGGAUUCCACCAUCUCAUCUCCCUGCCACCCAAACAUGCCUGCUCUUCUUUAAGCAAUAUUAAAUGUUUGUACUUCAGAAA
ensembl:lncRNA PCAT19 prostate cancer associated transcript 19